rnacentral:lncRNA from 1 species
CUAGUAUUUGUCAGUAUGUUCUGUAUUUUAAUGAUGUACACACUUCCUAAAAUAUACCUUGAAAUAGGUUAAGGAACUUUGCAUAGAUAAAUAGUAGAAAUUUCAGUGUUAGAGUUAAGCUCCCUAUGGUAUUUUAAGGCUUGUAGAAAUACCCAUGUGUUAAGUUGUCACAUUUUCAAAUUACAAACUUGUAACUGUCACUCUCUAACAGUGCGUGCAUAACUAUAUCCACAGCUUUGUGGGAAGAGAUGUUAUUCAAAGUAAUACAUUUUAGGCAUUUUCUUAUCAUUAGAAGAGGCAUUCUUUAUUCACAAAUAUUUAAAUUUUGCAGUGUGAUGAAGUUGAGAGGGUGGCUAGAUGUGAAUAACAGCUGGGUUAGAACAAGUACCUCAGGAAUUUUGUCCAAGAUUAUUCCCAACAACUGCCCCUCUCUGAUCUCCAGCCAUGAAGAUCCAAUCUGGUUUGUUGGAGUACUUCCUACUUUGAGAUGCUCAUGCUAAGCACACAGACUGCUUUCAGGCUGGCACAGGAUAUCUUCUUGCUCCUCACAAGGGACACUGUUUGCAGUGGCUUGGUGAUGAUUUGAGACACCACUCAUAUUAUUUCCAGGACUGUGAGGAAUCCACUUGGAUAUCCUGGAUUUUAAUACAUGUCCAUGAAUUAGGUAGCCAAAAUGAAGAUUUCCAUUUUGCUUCAACAAGAUUUCCAUUUUACUACAACAAGAAACAGGCAAAGUCAAUCCUGAUGAUUUAAGCUGGGUUGAUAGUGGCAGCAUAAGGGUGAAUGCUUUUAAACUAAGAUGGGAGAUUUAGGUUAGAUAUUAGGAGAAAGUUUUUCAUUGAGAAGGUGGUGACACACUGGAAUGGGUUGCCCAGAGAGGUUGUGGAUGCCCUGUCCUUGGAAGCAUUCAAGGUGAGGCUGGAUGUAGCUCUGGGUAGCCUGGUCUAGUAGUUGGCAACCCUGCACAUAGCACAGGGGCUAAAACUAGAUGAUCUUUGAGGUCCUUUUCAACCCGGGCUCUUCUAUGAUUCUGUGAAGACAGAUAUUUUGAAAGAUGCCAC